AAAACCGAAAGUUACAGCUUUACCGCUGAAAAAGUAAAAGAAAAGAAAAAAAAAAAAAACACCUCCACGUAAAAAGCACCAAGGACGAAGCUGGAGACCCCGUCCUGUAGAAGAGUCAGAGGACGUUGUUGCCUAGUUACGCACACUGUAAUAAACCGUCGACAAACUCCACCUUGCAUUUCAGCUUUUCAGUAAUUAUUCCUUAUAUAAUUUAUACUACAUCAUUUAAUGCACCUUUCCCGUGAUUUAUUUUUCCACAGUUCAUUUACACCUCUCACAAAACUCCUCCUUAUUCCCGCCCUCUCUCUCUCCCUCCCUCCCUCCCUCCCUCCCUCUUGGCCAAUAUAAGCUGAAAAAUUGUCAGCUUCGACAAUCUACCGGAAAUAGUAGACCAUCCGGGUGGUUACCUUUGGGAUACUGAUUUCAACAUACUAUGAUUUAGGACACUAUUUAGGCGAAUUGAGACGCAGCGUGCGAGUGUGGUGGUGAAGGUGAUUGAGUCCAGGCAUGCGUGAUCAGUAAUCAGCAUUAACGCGGCAUGCUAACACCCGGGCCGUGCUGACAGGGCGUCGUCACUGCAGCAGACGUGUUCGAGAACUUGUAAAUGCCUUGGUGGAAGAGUGAGGGAGCAUCUCACAGCAAGAACUGACCAAUCUGGUGCAGUCCAUGAGGAUGAUAUACACUGCAGGACUUAAAGCAGCUGGAGGCAACACCAGAUACUGACUGUUCCUUCUGAUAUCGACCCAUCCUUUGUUCAGGGACUCAUUACUCCAAAUACUGCUGGAAAUAAAAGCAGUUGAAUGUGAGAUGACGUUUCUUUUUUUUUCUUUUUUUUUGCUGAGUAUAUAUCAAGUUAUGUAAUAGCAUUAGCUGCAUUACUGUAUUAAUUUUAGUGUGUACUAGAGUAAAGUGUGUCAGUAUAUUAAUAUAUGUAUAUAAAUAUAUACUGUUGGUAUUCAUUGUUAUUGGUAGUAGGUGUGUCAACAUGGUAGAAUAAAUAUAUGUUCUAUUGUUUAUGGUAUUUACUGUAUAUAAUAGAAGUAGCCGUAUUAUAGUGUUCAUAUUAAUGUGUACUAUAGUACAGCAUGCCAGUAUGAUAGAAUUAAAAUAUACUACAGUUGUCAUGUCUAUACCAGAAUCAGCACAGAACUCCACUUCCCACAACGCACCUCCACCUACAAACAUGGACACCUUGGACGACGAUACCCAUACGCCACAUUCAGUGGUCCACAAUCACCCGAUUACUGAUUUUACACUCCCGUGCUGCGUCCCGAAUUCGCCUACUGUCCGUCCGAACUAGUAUCCAAGAUUAGAAUUAGUGUGUCCUAAAUUAUAGUAUGUUGAAACGAGUAUCCUCAUACUCGUUCAUCUAAUAUCGCCCAUCAAUCACCACCACACACCACUUCAGCACGUGCCACACUCGUUCAUACCACCAGGUAUUCGUUCAGGUCUGACUUUUCACCUGAUACCAAGCCUUAUAGCCAUGUUGGUUUUUUUUUUUUUUUUUUUUGGGGGGGGGGGUCAGUUUUUGACCCUAGCGAGAGAAAUCAUCACAG
ensembl:lncRNA